AUGUCUCAUGGACUGAUGCUAACAUUCUCUCCCAUUGCUCUCUCUCUGCUCACCUUGCAUGUUCCGCCCCGCUGCUCUGAUCUGAUUGGUCUAGAACUGACUGUACGCCCAGGAGGGCAAGACGACCGUACUUUUCAGCAGUCUAGGAGAGCUCCACACCAUUUCCCAGAGAAGCUACGGCACUUCCUACACCAUCCGGCCCGGCAGCCGCUACCCCAUAACACGCCGAAUCCCAAGCCCCGGCUCGGGCUCCCCAGAUCGGGGUGACCCCCUAAGUCGACUCCCAGGCUUCGGCUUACCCAUUUCGCCCACCACGCCGCCCCACACCAUCCUCAAGUCAUCCAGCCUCAGCCUGCCCCAUGAGCCCAAAGAAGUGCGCUUUGUUAUGAGGAGCNNNNNNNNNNGUACAGUCCGGAGUGAGACUCAGGGAAAGCACUGGGAUAUGGUAUAAAUAUGGUAGUUUGCACAUCAUCUACGGUGUGAGGACUGAGCUAGUGUUGUAGCUGCCAUAGCUCUCUCCUUUCUUACCCACAGAGCAGACCAUUUUUCUCCCAUACAGAGCCCUACCUGUUUCUCCUGUAGAGCUAUAAAGACAUGACCCUUACUCUUACUACAUGCAUGGUCAGCCUUUUGGACCCAAAAUAUGCUGACACAAGGAAAUCAUGUUCACUGCUUUUACUUGUGUGCAUGCUUGUGUGUGCGGUCAAAGACAUGGCCAGGUUUUGAACAAUUAUCCUUUAACCCUGGCAUUUGUUGGUGUUUACAGUAGGCUUGUAUCAUGUUCCUCUGACAGGACAGAACCAUAAACCCCCUCCACCACAUACCCUCAUAGCUUCAAAUCAGAGCUGUAUUUAUUGAGGCAUAAAAAUAAAUCAUUAUUUGAUCUUGCAGACAUUGAUUCCCCUUUGAUAUGACUUUAUUAAAAAAGCACCAUUUGCCAGAGUAGCCUGUUCUCUGGGCCUGCCGAAUGAGUAGAGAAAAGACGUAAAGUAGAGAAUCACACGCAUGCCCACAUGAAAAAUACUACAGUUUACUAUAGAAUACUAUAGUACUUGCUAUAGAAUUAUGUAGUGAACUGUAGUAUACAGUAGAAUACUAUACUACACACUCUAGUAUCCUUCGAUCAUGUAGAAUAAUAUAGACUACAAAAACACUACAGUAAAUACUACAGUAAUGUCCGCAAAAACAAUAGAGUAAUUAUUAUAGUAUAUGCUACAGUAUUUCAUUUGCAUAUCUCAAUUCGUGCCACCCAGUGAGAAACCCAUGAGUGAGAAAUGAUAAUGUUCCCUACAUAUUAUAGAAAAGAGCAGAAGCUCUGAACUAUCUGUUCAGACCUCAGUCCUACCUACCUACAGGUUAUGGAACAUUUGCUCUUUGAGUAUUUUGUCCAGUAGUUUUCCUCAAGGAGAUAGCCACCUAUGUCGAAGAUAAUAAAACAAAAACACUUAAAUACUGUAGUAAAUACUACAGUAAUGUCUGCAAACUAACUACAGUAAAUAUUACAGAAUAUUAAGGUCUGCAAAGACACUACAGUAAAUACUAUAGUAUAUACUACAACAACAAAAAUUACUACAGUAUUUAUUCUAUAGUAAACUGUACAUACGACAGUGUACUGCAAUCAUGUCCGCAACACUAGAGUAAAUACUACAGUAUUCAGUAUUCACUGUAGUGUUUUUGCGGACCAAGAAUGGCCAUUGGUGAAACUGCACCAGUUUCUGGGUCCCCGUCUGUGAGACUGGAGUCUCAGUGGGGUUUAGAAUGAACAUCAGAGAAACUGAGCGAUGGGAGCCAGGGAAAUGCUGAUGAGGGCUCUAUGUCGGAGUGGACAACUUGAUUGGCAAUAAGACGGAAUUAAGUUUCACUAAAGUAAUUUAUGAAGGAGAGAGGGAAAGGGAGAAAGGGAGUGAGAGAUAGAAAGAGAUUGAUGAGCAGAUACUCUCAGUGAUUGCUCUGUCAGAAUGAGCUGGAUCCACCAAGUGUUGCUUGAUCGUCUUCCACUAGCUAGACAGUAUGCAGCUCUUGUUUCUCUUGCACACCAUAUGCCAGCAACUGGAUAGAUCGAACCGAGAGAGAACAGAGAAAGCGACUACAGAGGGAAUUGGUAGAUAGAACCCAUUUCUGCUCUGUCAGAUGUUCUGCCAUGUUCCGGUUCUGUAACGUUCCAGUUCCUUAGUGUUCCAAUUCAACUGUGUUUUCCUGCAGUGUUCCUCUCUCCUGACCCCAAGAAAGGUUGGACCAUCUUGUAUAAGGCCUUUACGCCAUGUACAAACCAACUGAGUAGUUGAAAACAAUGAAGCUUUUGAUCUUGCUGUGAUUUUAACUAGCUUGCUCUCAGUAAUGGUCACUAACCCUGCAGCCCCUCAGUGGCUUGAUGUU
rnacentral:lncRNA from 13 species